rnacentral:rRNA from 1 species
UACGAAGGGGGCUAGCGUUGCUCGGAAUCACUGGGCGUAAAGCGCACGUAGGCGGCUUUUUAAGUCAGGGGUGAAAUCCUGGAGCUCAACUCCAGAACUGCCUUUGAUACUGAGAAGCUUGAGUUCAGGAGAGGUGAGUGGAACUGCGAGUGUAGAGGUGAAAUUCGUAGAUAUUCGCAAGAACACCAGUGGCGAAGGCGGCUCACUGGCCCGAUACUGACACUGAUGAGCGAAAGCCAGGGGAGCAAACGGG